UACGAAGGGGGCUAGCGUUGCUCGGAAUCACUGGGCGUAAAGGGUGCGUAGGCGGGUCUUUAAGUCAGGGGUGAAAUCCUGGAGCUCAACUCCAGAACUGCCUUUGAUACUGAAGAUCUUGAGUUCGGGAGAGUGAGUGGAACUGCGAGUGUAGAGGUGAAAUUCGUAGAUAUUCGCAAGAACACCAGUGGCGAAGGCGGCUCACUGGCCCGAUACUGACGCUGAGGCACGAAAGCGUGGGGAGCGAACAGG
rnacentral:rRNA from 1 species